UGCAAGUCGAACGGUAACAGGAAGCAGCUUGCUGCUUCGCUGACGAGUGGCGGACGGGUGAGUAAUGUCUGGGAAACUGCCUGAUGGAGGGGGAUAACUACUGGAAACGGUAGCUAAUACCGCAUAACGUCGCAAGACCAAAGAGGGGGACCUUCGGGCCUCUUGCCAUCAGAUGUGCCCAGAUGGGAUUAGCUUGUUGGUGGGGUAACGGCUCACCUAGGCGACGAUCCCUAGCUGGUCUGAGAGGAUGACCAGCCACACUGGAACUGAGACACGGUCCAGACUCCUACGGGAGGCAGCAGUGGGGAAUAUUGCACAAUGGGCGCAAGCCUGAUGCAGCCAUGCCGCGUGUAUGAAGAAGGCCUUCGGGUUGUAAAGUACUUUCAGCGGGGAGGAAGGUGAUGGGGUUAAUAACCGUGGCAAUUGACGUUACCCGCAGAAGAAGCACCGGCUAACUCCGUGCCAGCAGCCGCGGUAAUACGGAGGGUGCAAGCGUUAAUCGGAAUUACUGGGCGUAAAGCGCACGCAGGCGGUCUGUUAAGUCAGAUGUGAAAUCCCCGGGCUCAACCUGGGAACUGCAUCUGAUACUGGCAGGCUUGAGUCUCGUAGAGGGGGGUAGAAUUCCAGGUGUAGCGGUGAAAUGCGUAGAGAUCUGGAGGAAUACCGGUGGCGAAGGCGGCCCCCUGGACGAAGACUGACGCUCAUGUGCGAAAGCGUGGGGAGCAAACAGGAUUAGAUACCCUG
rnacentral:rRNA from 1 species